GAUGAACGCUAGCGGCAGGCUUAAUACAUGCAAGUCGAGGGGCAUCAAGGUACACGAAAGUGUAUUGUUGGCGACCGGCGGACGGGUGAGUAAUAGGUAGGUAACCUACCUCAUACUGAGGCAUAGCUGGGAGAAAUUCCAGGUAAUUCCUCAUGAGGUUAUAUGACACAUGUGAUAUAAUCAAAGGUAUCGCAAGGUACUGGUAUGAGAUGGGCUUACUGACCAUUAGCUAGUUGGUGAGAUAAGAGCUCACCAAGGCGAAGAUGGUUAGGGGUUUUGAGAGAGAGAUCCCCCACAUUGGAACUGAGAUACGGUCCAGACUCCUACGGGAGGCAGCAGGUAGGGAAUAUUGGGCGAAUGGGCGGAAGCCUCGACCCAGCCAUGCCGCGUGAAGGAAGACGGCCUUAUGGGUUGUAAACUUCUUUACUAUGCGACUAACUAGAUUUACGAGAUAAUUCUAUAGAAUGUAGCAUAGACAAAAGACACCGGA
rnacentral:rRNA from 1 species